GGCAAGGUGGCCGAGUUGGUUAUGGCGCCAGGUUAAGGUUAUCUUAACGCUAAUUCCUGGUGGGGCAACCCGCGCGAGUUCGAGUCUCGUCCUUGUCA
rnacentral:tRNA from 1 species